UAUGGCUACAAUUCUCAAACUUGUUUAUGUUAUGAUUCUAAUUCUUCCCUUAUUUCUUUUUGCACUUGAAGAUGGUGGUAAAGGAAAUUCUAGGAGGAUGAUGCAUUCGAGUAAUUUGAAAGAUGAGAGUGACAAGCAAGAGAAUGAUAGAGGACAAGAACAUCCAAUGAACCAUGAAUUUGAGGGAGGAGGGGAUGGUUAUAAAAGAGUUCGAGUCCCAAAAUGUUUCCGGUGUGGAGAUAUUGGGCAUUAUGCAUUCGAUUGCACUUCCAGUGAAAAGUUAUGUUUCAAUUGUAAGAAUCCAGGACAUUUUAUUAAAGAAUGUGAAGAACUGAAAGAGGAACCUUUAGUGAAUGCUGCUAAAGCAUGAAAUUGUAGAUCUAUCUUUCAUGGGAUUUAGAUCGUCUCAAUCUGUAUUUUUCUCAAUUUUCUUCAAUCUUAAAUCUUAUGUGAGUUUUGAGGUCUUGCAUGUAGUUUAUGAAGAUUGCAUGUUACUUUGAAUGGUUAAUUUUGUUUAGAAAAUUAUAAUGUUUCAAUGUUCUUUGUUUUUGGAUAUGAUUUGAGGCUUUAAUUUGAGUAUUUAGAUUCAAGAAAUUUGUUGUUUAUGAGAUUUUGAGAUUACCGCAUUCUUAUGAGUGUUGAAAAAAAAAUAGGAAGAAUAUUUGAAUUGUUCAUGAGACCUAUACUUGAUUUUGUAUAAAAAGUUGAUUUUUAUACUUAUUCUUAAAUUUUGACGCUCAAAAUAGAUAUCAAGAGUCUAAGUCUCCCAAAUGAUAAAUAUUUUGUGCCGAUUAAGUUGCUUUUAAAUAAUUUUUUUAGUAGAAUUAAGUUUUUGUUCACGAGAUUUGAAUUUAUGCAUUAAGUUAUAAAUUUUAAGAAAAAUGACUAAUUUUGGAGACUAUGGUACAAUUAAGGAUGUAAACCAUAAGGAUGGUAAUCUUUUAGUUAGAAAAAGCAAUUGGGUUAGCCUUUGGUGCAUUAAAGCCUUAUUUAGAGGUUUCGAAAUGAUUUGGGGAAUAUCUUUUGGGCAUCUACGGUUUUGGUUCAUUUGGAUUGAUAGAAAUAAUCACAUUUUUAGAGGAGGGAUAUUUAAUGUAGAUGAUACUAUAAAUUCUAUCAAAUUUUGCUCUUGGAGAGGGUCUGUUUUAGACUCUAACUUAGCUACCUCCUAUAAUUUCUAUGACAAAUUUAUUUCUCUUGCAAACUGUUUAAAGUGGAUGUAACAUUUCCGCAUUCUCCUAUUGUAAAGAUUCCGCCCCUUGUUCUCCUUUUGAUAAUUUUAUUGCCUAUAAAAAAUAACACUUUAGAUUUAUUCAUAUUUUUAAAAUAAUUCUUUUUUGAGCAUAAAGUAAACAUAUCUAUUUAUAAUCCAUUAAAAAUGCACCUUUGCGUUUUAACAUUUCAAUUUCCUUUGUGGCAUAUAAUUCAUAUUCUCAUGUUUCUCAUGUUGCAGUAUCUUUUAAAAUUCAUCUUUACUUCUUAAAAAGUUAAAACAAAAAUUUAUUUUCUAUAAAAGGUCAUGAAUUUAAAUUAUGACAAAUUCAAAAAUAUUUUAAUCUAACGAAUAUAUAUAUAUAUAUAUAUAUAUAUAUAUAUAUANUAUUAUAUUUCAAAAAUCUUAUAUAACAUUUAUAUAUUUGUUUUGGAAUAAAUUCUUCUUUUAUGAAAAUAAGUUAAUUUUAUUUUUGAUAUAUCUUUUUAAUAUUAAACUCUAUAACAAUUAAGUUUAUUUCAAUUUUAACAAAUUAAAUAGUACUUAUUUAUGAUACCAUUUUGAAUACUACCAUGGAAAGUUGGUCGUUAGUUUUAAGGUUUUAUUUUAAAAUCACAUUACAAGCUUUAAAUAUAUAUAAUAUAAUAGAUAUAUCAUUUUCUUGCAUAUUGAUAUUAUGUACAGAAUUCAACUCAUUACAAUAUUUUGAAGAACAUGAUUUCAUGACUCAUUUUUGAAGUUGCAUAUUUCUGAUACCUUAAGUGUUAUGAUUUUCAUGUUUGUCUUAUAAGCGUUUGGUUCUAGUUUUUAUCUUAUUGAGUCUCCUCAUCAAUUAUGCAAUUGAUAUUUAGAUUCGUAUUUUAGCAUGUAUGAGUCCAAGUAUUUGAUUAUAGCUUAAGCAAUAUGAUUGAAAUCAAUCUAUUGAGUUUGUCAGUCAAAAACUAUGCUUGAGAAUGAUUUAAAUCAUGACCAUUGUAGAAUCUCAAAAAUCCUUUAAAAAUUAUUGAAAAGGAAAUUUGGCCAGUGUAACUCGAAUUACACAGUUAGUCUGAUUUGAAUCAGAGGAUAUAUUUUCAGAUCUUCUAAUUCGAAUCAAAGGAAGGUCUAAUUUGAAUUAAAGCAAUUUGAAUCAAAUCACAAAAUUGUGUGAUUCGAAUCAUUAUGAAAUAGAAAUUCUCCUGGUGGCUUUUAGAACUCUGACUGGGAGCAACCGAUUAUUUGACUCGAGUCAAGUGAUUUGAAUCACAGACCUUGUGAUUCAAAUCACACAAAUGAAUUUCAUAUAGUUUUUGCUUAUUGAUUUAAAUCACUUGGUUUUUUGAUUCCAAUUCUAACUCUUGCUUUGAACUUAAAUCAUACACCAUUUUGUCUCAUUUUUAGACUAGAUCUCCAACACAUAUAGAUACCGUUUUUCUCUCAAAAACCUUCAAAAUAUUAGAAAACACACACUUCCAAUAUUAAUUUGAAAACUCACAAACUACUUGUUCUCUCAUAUUUCCAAAAGAGUUUUGAAUCUUUUUUGGACACUUGUAAGUGAUUUCUUUCGUCUUCUACCUUAUUCUUUAUCCAUUAUUACAUGGAUAAGAAUCUCAUAUUUUGAGAUUCGUGAUUGUUUUUGAGAUGUUUUUGAAUUUAAUGUGUCUUUGAAGAUUUAAUUAAGAUUUCAGAGGUUCUCAAGAUGUGUGAUGUUGUGGUUGGUUUCGACAAUUCGAGUAAAAAAGAAGGACAUUCUUCUCUUCAGGUCCAUAUUGGUAGCGUUGUGUGGAAGCCUACAGACAAGGUGAGAGUUCUUCUCAAUCUUCAAACAUACCAACACUUAAGAUAUCAACAAGAUUAAGUAAAGAUCAUUACAGAGCAGAGACUUUGGAGUAGGUUGUUGGGCGUGAAGAUUUUAUAAAGAGUUUAACUUGUAGGUGUGAAGACAAGCUUCCAACAAAUUUUGAUGAAGAUAAUGAAUUCAAGCUUAAAUUUCCUUAUCAAAGAAGAAGAGAAAAAAUUGCUUUUGGUCAAUCAAGAUAUAUAGAAAUUCAUAUCAUAUGCAAUCUUAAAGUUCUCAAUUUUACUGAUCAUACAUUUGAAAAUAUUCAUGUCAUACUUUGUUAAAAUAUUUUUUAAAAUGUUUUAAUUGCAUUAGUUGAAAAUAAAUUUUGAUGCAUGCAUAAAGUUGUGGACUUAGAAAUUUUUUCAAUUUAAUUAAGCAAGCAAUUGAUUGACAUAAUUGUGCAAUCGAUUGAAUAGAAAUUUGAAAUUUAAAAUUUUAACCACUGCAAUCGAUUAACAUGUUUCUGCAAUCGAUUGCAUCAGUUCAUUUUUUCAAUCAAUUGUACCUAAACAAGUUUGGAAAAAUACUGAUUCAUGUUCACUACUUCACUCACUCCUUUUCAUGGCAUCUCUUAAAUUAAUCUCAUUAUAUUUCAUAAAUAUUUUCAAACCAUUGCCAUAUUUUAUCAAGGGAUGCUUUCAUCACUAUAAAUACAUUCACAGUUUCAUUUUACACUCACCUCUUUCAAAUUAAUCAUGAAAUUUCUCUGCAUAAUUUUCAAUAGAACCUUUACACUAAUAUACUUUUUGAAAUACAUUUUUAUAUCAUAUUCAACAAAGUAUCUUUGAGCACUUAUAGAGCAUUUGUUCUUGAAUCUUCAUAUUUUGAAAGAGAAUAAGACUUUUAUCAUUUGAUUAAAUCUUGUUCGUUAUACAAACUUACUUCUUAUACAAAUUAUUACUGUAAAUUCCUAAGUAUCAAGGCUUGCACAGAAGCUCCUGAAAAAACAAUUCAACCAGAAUCAAAAUCUGAGUUAGAUUCUGAAGAGGUAUUUUCUGAACUUUCUUGUUCUGAGCUGGAAUCUAGUUUAUCAAAAGUUAUGGAAAAAUAUCAAAAUCUUAUGAACAAAUACAAGAAUCUGAAGAAGAUUCAUGUAUUUGAGUCAGAAGCUUACUAUAAGCUCCAGAAAGACUUUUCAAGUUUGAGUGAAGAAAAUCUCAUUUUGAAAAGCAACAACUCUGUGCCCCAAAGGAAGAGUCUCAAACCCGAAAAGAAAAUUCUUUCAAAAGCCUCUAUAGGUUCUGGUGAUAUUAUAAAGAAAUAUGACAAAUAUUUCCAUAAAUUUAUUGAUAUAAGCCUGAAUAGAAGCUUAUUACCUUUGUUAAGCUAUCACUGAGCUGAUAGUAGGUAAUAUCCCUCUUAUCUUUGGUUGGUUACCUUUUUGAAGCUAUCACUUGGCCGGUAGUUGGUAAGCUUCCCUUUUUGAGCUUAUUACCUUUGUUAAGUUAUCACUGGGCUGAUAGUAGGUAAUAUCCCUCUUAUCUUUGGUUGGUUACCUUUGUUAAGCUAUCACUUGGAUGGUAGUUGGUAAUUUUCCCUUUUUAAGCUUAUUACCUUUGUUAAGCUAUCACUGGGAUGAUAGUAGGUGAUAUCCCUCUUAUCUUUGGUUGGUUACCUUUGUUAAGCUAUCACUUGGCUGGUAGUUGGUAAUUUCCCCUUUUUGAGCUUAUCACCUUUGUUAAGCUAUCACUGAGGUGAUAAUAGGUAAUAUUCCUAUUAUCUUUGGUUGGUUACCUUUGUUAAGCUAUCACUUGGAUGAUAGUUGAUAAUCUUUCAUUUUGGGCCUAUUACCUUUGUUAAGGUAUCACUUGGAUGAUAGUUAGGUAAUAUUUCUCCCCUAGUGGAGUUAGGCAUCCCAUUUGAUUGAUCUUUCCCCUUUGAUUGAUCUUUCCCCCGGCGGAGUCUUGCUUUGAUAAGUCUUCCCCAUUUGGUCCAUUUGGUUUGUUUAUUUUCUAACUAUGCAUUGGUUUCUUCCUAAUUCAAUAUUUAUUCCUGAGCCGAGUUGUUCCCCUGUGGAACUUUGUUUGUCCCUAGUUGGGUUUUCCCCUUUUGGAAACUGGUAUUUCCCAUGCGGAGUUUUAGUCUCCUCUUUUCUCCAACAAUUCUUUGUCUCUCGUGUCGCUAUGUUCCCCACAUAGAUCCUUGUCUACAUUCAUAUCAUAAGCAUUUUUGGCGAUAUCUUAGGGCCAAAAAUUGGGUUUUAUGUAUUUAAGUCUCUUCAAUAUCGUCGAGACGAAAAUUUCAAUCUCCAUAUCUCCGAAUUGAAGAAACUUAAAUAGGAACAUCUGUCAUACCCUAAUUUUUAACCCUAAGGUCCCUCAUACCAUUUGCACCCUUGCAUACAGACAAGAUCACAUCUUGGUCCUCUCCCUCUUAUCUAUGGGGUUUGCCUUUUGUAGGGAUCAUCAAACACCUCUUUGUUAGUGUUUUAUCUUUUGUGUUUAUAUGUCCAUUACUUAUCUAACUACUAAUCAAAAUAUCAAAAACAUGUUUUGUUUAAGUCUAUUGUGCAAGGUAGGGAUUUUCCAUCAAGAACAUCAAGCAUGGAUCAUCAACUAGGGUUUGUUUUGAUUCUUCAACAAAGUAUGGUCAACCAUUGGUUCUCAAGGGAUUUAUCUCUUAAGCAUGAUCUCUAAGGUUCUCAAGAACCUUUCAAUCUCGUUUGUAUCAAGAGCAUCUCAAAGUUCUGUGGCUUACUUCUCAAGAAAAGUCAAAGGUUCAUGUGUUUAUUUUCAUGCCUUCUUCAAUAAGUUUCCUCAAACUUUGAGAAAUCCAACCAAAGGACAUUAAAGGACACUUUAUUUUGAGUUCAUAUGAUCAUCCAUCUACCUUGAAAUGCAAGAAAAGUUCAAGUGCACAAGCUUAUUCCAAGAUGGUUUGACCAAAAGUCAACAUUUGCAAUUAAAGUCCAAAGGAUUAUAACUCCUUCAAUUCUCAACAUUUUUGAAUGCUUCUUUUUGCAUAUGACUCUUCUUAUUAUCCUAUACAACUUAUCUUUACAUGACAAGAGCCAAUUAUGCUUGUAAGAUUAUCAAAAGGUUGGAGACAUUAUAGGUCAUUUGUGGACUUAGUGAAAUUUGACCUAUUUUCAAGUGACUUUUUCUCAACUUUCAAGAUUUAUAACUUCUUGAAUUCUUAACAUUUGAGGCUUAUUAUUUUUGAAAAAUAUCAUUUGCGAUUCACUCUACAAGUUUGCUUCAAGGAUCAAAGUCAAAAUAUGUUUGGAAGACCAUGCAAUCCAUUGACACAUUAGAAGUCAUUUUCAGCCAUUGGAUACUCAAAAAUUUCCAAGUUACAUGACCAGUUUUUUCGUGCCAACUUCAACAUGACAUAAUUUUGUGCUCAAGCAUCCAAAUGCAAACUUUCUCCGCAUAUUGUAAUCUUUGAUAUGAUGUCAACACAAUGCAAGAAGAAUGGGAUCAAAAAGUCUCAUGAGCAAGAUGCCCUAUUGAGUUGAACAUGGUAACUUAAAACUGAAGAAAUCACCAUGAUUCAGAUUUGAUUCACUAAUUCUCAAUUACAAGCCAAAUUAACACGCGUUUUGGACCUAAACAUGUUUAACCAAGUCUCCAGAAGUUAAUUGACCCUGGAAACACAUGAUUUGGAUGAGGUUUGAUGAAUUGCAAGUCACACUUUUCUCACUUCAUGAUCAAAUUUGUUUUGCAUGAAUUAAGCUUGAUUCCACACGUAUUCGGAUCCAAACACAUUCCCUAUAAAUAGAGGAAGCUAUUGCAUUCAUUUCCAAGCUUUUGAGAGCCAGGAAAUCUCCGCUUCAAUUUGAAAAUUUCCAAAAAAAAUCAACUAUCGUGUUUUGAAUUCCAGCUUGAUUGAACCCAAUUUCUUGAUUCCAUUAGCAUUUUCGGCCCCCUCUGAAGCUUUUGCAACAAUUCCCAGGAUUUGCGACCUCAUUGAAUGCUCUAAUCAGAUCGAGCUUCGUCGACUUUUAUUCACCAUUUGGACAAGGUAGUUCUGAGCAUUAUUUGAACUCAAACAAGUUGCCAUACUAUAGUCCUUCACUCUCUGAUGCUUUCCCCUAACUUAUUUGGUGUUGGUUGUUCGUAUUCAUCAUUUAAUUUUAUUUUUCGUGGCUUACUUGCUUCUGAAACUUCUCUAAAAUUUCCCAUGCUCAAUUUAGAUAAAUGAAUUUGGAGCAUGAAGUUGAAUUCAUGUUGCGGAGGAGAUCACAUUGGUGGUGGUCCCGUGUUCUGAAAUUACCAAAUGAUGAAGCUCCGAUGAGGGAUCAUCGGGAAAGAUGACCAUAGUGUUUCAGGUCGUCUGAGUUUGGCCAGACACGUUGGACAAUUAAAAUGCUCUAAUUUGUUCAAUUUAAAUGCAAUCCCGUGUUUUAUUUUAGCUAAAUUCCAUCGUACGCCCUAGCCUUGUGAGUGUUGGAUCUGCCACGUCAAUUAAUGAGGCCAGAUCCAACGCUCCGUAUUUUUUUAUUUUUUUUUAAUUGCAUUUUCUUUUAAAAUUCCUAGGAAAUUCAUUUUACAUCCAAAAAAUCACAAAAUAACUUCUAAAAUUCUCUUUUAUUUUUCUUCAUCUGAAUUUUAUUUUUGCAUAUUUUAUUUUAUUGAUUUUCUAUUUUCAUGGAAUUUCUCCUUUUCUCCUUUGUUUUAAUCGGUUUAAAAUAGUUUUCUCCAUUUUAAAAUUCAGAGAAUUUUAUUAUAUGCUUCUUAUUUUAUUUCCAACCUUCCAUAAUUUUCUUGACCAUUUAUUUGGUGUUUUGAAGGACUUUAUGGGUUUUCCUAUUCAUUUCCAUUUUAAAAUUCAUUUUAAAAGUAUUUUUAAUUCAUUUUAUUGCAUUUUAUAUUUGUAUGACCUUUAUGGACUUCUGUUGGCCUCGGAUCAUGGUUGUUUUAAUCAUAUGUCUCAUCAAAUUCAAUGGAUCUUGGGUGUUGAUGGGUUGAAAACCCUAAUACACCAAAAUGGAUGAUAGAUCUUGAUGGUGACUUGAUCAAACAUCUGAUCCAAUUUUGGUGUGAUCUCUCUUGUCCUCUUCUUUUUCAUCUCUUUCUCUUCCUCUUGAUCAAUUGGAUGGUUUAUGUCCAUCUAGUACAUGAUGUAUGGAUUGGUGUUUGAUGAACUUUCAUCAUUUCAAAUCUACCUCUUAAUUGGUCUUUGAUCAUUUAGGGUACUUUUAUUGAUGCAUAAGUUUGUACUGGGUACUACGGAGUAUAAAUUGAUGUAAUGGACCACUCUCAUAGCCUUUGUACUUGAUCAAUUAUCUUUUUUUUUGUGGCAUAGGUUUAGGAGAAUGAUUUACAUCUCAUUUCUCUAGCAUGUAUUAACACAAACGUUGUUAUUGACCGACCUUAAAUAGUUAUGACUUCUACAUAAGUCCAAUUACGAUUGCUUAAUAUAUCGUUAAAUUUGUCCCGAAAGUAAGUCAUUUACAUAAGUGACAUUGUAAGUCUCCUACUCCUCAUGGUAUUGUGUGAAAAUAUUGCUUCCUUUUCAUUUAUGAGAGCUAAUGACAUACUUGUUGAUUCUAUCCAAGUUGGAGUCCUUCUCAUAGGUGAUAUAAAUGUCCAUGUUUUCAUGUUUGUGAGUGAAUAGUUGAGUGUUCUACAAAAAAUGACAAAUUGCCUUUCUCUUUUGAUUACUAACAUCAUUUAUUAAUAUUUUAUUGUAUUAACUUUAUUUUAAUGUCAUUUAUAUUAUGAUCUUUACUUUUUUUGUCAUUUACUUUAUGCUUUUACUUUAGCAUCCCACAUCAUAUUGUUUAUGUUUAUGCUCUUUUACUCUUUGCCUAUUUGGAUUUCUUUUUCUUUUAAAGGCAUUUAUAAAAGGAAUAAACUUCUAAAAAUUGGUUCUCUAGAUUUGUGGACUUGAGGUUACUAUCCUUAGCAUUGUUGUGGAGUUAUGGACUUAGAACUAGGAUCUUGACCCUUGCUUUGGGAGUUGUGAUUUGAGAUCUUGAUUUCAUCUGGUACCUUUGACUUUGGACCUCUUUUGAAGAUUUGGCUUGACUACUUUGAUUUCAUCUGAUGCAUGGUAUAUUCUUUUGCUUAUUUGGCUUGUUUGAGGCUUAAUCCAAAGGAGGAAAUUCUUGCUUGACUUAUGUAACAAAUCUUGCUAUCUCUUGGUUAGAUCUUUCCUCCCCAGCUUUUACUUUAUGUUCUAAGAAAGCCUACUCUUCUCCUUACCCCUCUUUGAUUUUCAAAAUCUCCUCUCUCUUUUCAAAACUUUAUUGUUUUCAAACUUGAACCGCUUUCUCAAUAAACCUUGAAUUUUUUCACGUGAUUUUGAAAAUCUUUUCUUAAUAAAUGUUAAUACAUGCUAAGCAUAUUCAAAACCAAUUUCAAAAGACUUAAAAAAAAUAUAUAACUCAUUUAAAUUAUUUUGUGCCCUUUGUGCACCUUUUCUUUUAAACUUUUCUCAAAGUUUAGACAUGAGUCAUUUCCAUAGUUGAGAUGUAAUUCUCCUAUCCCCAUAGUAUUGAUGAUUAUUCUUUUCCACCCAAGAGAGCUAGAGGCGUACUUACUGAUCUUUAUCCAAGUUGGAGCUCUUCUCUUUGGUGAUGUAAAGUUCUCAUACUUGUGGGUGACUAACUAAGUAUUCUCCUAAAAAUGACAAAAUGUAUUUUCAUUAAAAAUGAAUCAAAACAAACAUCUUUGUCACUUUUACCAUGAACUGCAAGGUUUUGAUCCUCCAUUUCACUUUGUUGAUACGUAGGCAUGAGACUCAGAAAGUCUUGGCAAUCACAAAAAUCAUAAAAAACAUUUCUUUUCUCAUCUCUCCAAUCUUUUGCAAACAACAUUUUUUAAAGCCAAAAUAUACAGAUUUUCAAAGAGGUUCCCAUGGAGUACCAUGGAUGUUUAGGGUGCUAAUACAUUCCCUUUGCAUAACUAACCCCCUUACCCGUAGCUCUUUUUAUUAGUUUUGUUUUAAAAACUUUCUUGGGUUUUGUUUGUACUUUUUCCUUUCCCUUUGGAAAUAAUAAAAGCACGGUGACGACACUUGCUUUGCGAGUUAAGUUAAUCAAUAACUUAAUCUCAAAAUUUUACCGCUACAAGUAUCACUAUCAGCAUAUCUCUUUCCAUUGAAAAAUCAGGGUUCCAUUCUGUUAAGAACAUAAGUAUAUGACCCCCUGAUCAUCACUUCAUCUCUAUCUUUCUCUAAUUUGAACUUUAAUAUGAAAUAUCCUUAGUCAUUGUAGAAAAUUUCGGGCAAUUGAGUAAAUUUCCAUGACUUAAUCAUAUAAUUCUUCACAACAUUCAUGCUCAGGUUUUCCCCAAUCACAUACAUGAUCAAAGAGCAUUCCCAAAACCUCAUCUCAGAUUCCACAUCUUCAUUCUCAAUUUCGACUUCAAUUUCACCAUCUACGACCUUUGGUGCCACAAAUAUAAUGGACAUACUAUUUGUUGUAUCUUUGUUACCCCUGAUGAUGUCCAUCCACAAUUUAGCCCCCUUCACGUUGUUCUUCACCUCCACGGACGGUUCCUUCGUGCUAUCAGAAUUUCCAUCAAUCCCUAACCCUUCCCCUUUUCCAUCCUCAUCUUUCGCUUCAUCGUCUCUAAUGGUUGGGUUAUCCACUUCUGAUUCCCCCGUAUCUUCUUGCGUCGUGAUUUUUGAGCUCGAUUCACGAUUUUUCGACGAACGAGGCACCUUCUUCUUCGGUCGCCCCCUUCCAUGUGAUAUCAUUUUUAAAAAAUUGAGACUUUAAUUACUAUAGUUGUGUAUUUCUCUUCUUCUUUUUUUGAUGUUAGUAUUUUCUCUUGUGUUUAAAAAUUUGUUUCUUUUCACAAGUAAACCUCAUGUUUUAUCUUUAAAUUUUGAUGUCACUAUAAUUAUUUUAAUAUUUUUCAUUAUGACAAUUUUCUUUAAAUUUUAUUAUAUUUAAUAAUAUUUUAAAAAUAUAUAUUAUUAUUAUUAUUACAUUUUUAUAAAAUAUUUUAUGAUAUUAUCUGAUUGAAUACAUAUAUUUCGAUAAUAAAUUUGUUAUCAAAUUAUGAACAAUAAAUUUUAUGAGUCUCAUAAUAAAAUUACAAAAAUAAUAAAAUAAAUUAGUUUCAAAAUACAUCCUCUUCCCAUUUGAACCAAAUAUAAUUGUAAAAUUGAUAAACUUUUGAUCGUGUCUACCACUAAUAAUAAAUAAUUUAAUCUUUAUAUUCUAUGCAUUAAAUACACCUUUGAUCAGUUGAAGGGGACAAACACACUGUAUGUUAACACUUUUUUUUGUGUGGUUACUUAUCUAACACUUUAGACAUAACUUUCUAGACACUAGAUGGUCAAAUAUUAUGUUCUAUAUUCUAUCAAAAUUCUGAAAUAUGAAUAAAAAACAUUGUAAUAUGUAUCUUAGCAAAGUCCAACAUAAAUAAAAUAACUAUCUAGUGAGAUUUAUCCACAAGUAACUUUGCCAUUGUAUAAAAAGAAAAUUUUCUCUUUAUUCUCAUGAAAGAUUAACAAAAGAGCACGUUCAAUCAAUUUUUUUCUUACUCAAAAAUUACUAUUUGUUUUUUGUUACAUGCCCUCCUUAAUUGAUGUGUUAAAGGGACAAACACAACAUAAUAAUAUUACUUAAAAGCUAUUUGACAACAAUUAUAAUUCUAUGAAGGGGUUUUAGACUAAAAACCAUCUAAUUAUUUUUUAGAAGCACAUAAACUUUAUACAUUAUAAAGAGAUCAAAUUAUACAAUAUUUCUCACAUGCAAAAAUAAAAAUAUAUGGCUACCAUUCUCAAACUUGUUUAUGCUAUGAUUCUAAUUCUUCCCUUAUUUCUUUUUGCACUUGAAGAUGGCGGUAAAGGAAAUUCUAGGAGAAUGAUGCAUUCGAGUAAUCUGAAAGAUGAGAGUGACAAGCAAGAGAAUAGUAGAGGACAAGAACAUCCAAUGAACCAUGAAUUUGAGGGAGGAGGGGAUGCUAAUAAAAGAGUCCCAAAAUGUUUCCAGUGUGGAGAUAUUGGGCAUUAUGCGUUCGAUUGCACUUCCAGUGAAAAGUUGUGUUUCAAUUGUAAGAAUCCAGGACAUUUUAUUAAAGAAUGUGAAGAACUGAAAGAGAAACCUUUAGUGAAUGCUGCUAAAGCAUGAAAUUGUAGAUCUAUCUUUCAUGAGAUUUAGAUCGUCUCAAUAUGUAUUUUUCUCAAUUUUCUUCAAUCUUAAAUCUUAUGUGAGUUUUUAGGUCUUGCAUGUAGUUUAUGAAGAUUGCAUGUUACUUUGAAUGGUUAAUUUUGUUUAGAAAAUUAUAAUGUUUCAAUGUUCUUUGUUUUUGGAUAUGAUUUGAGGCUUUAAUUUGAGUAUUUAGAUUCAAGAAAUUUGUUGUUUAUGAGAUUUUGAGAUUACCGCAUUUCUAUGAGUGUUGAAAAAAGAAAUAGGAAGAAUAUUUGAAUUGUUCAUGAGACCUAUACUUGAUUUUGUAUAAAAAGUUGAUUUUUAUACUUAUUUUUAAAUUUUGACGCUCAAAAUAGAUAUCAAGAGUCUAAGUCUCCCAAAUGAUAAAUAUUUUGUGCCGAUUAAGUUGCUUUUAAAUUAUUUUUUAGUAGAAUUAAGUUUUUGUUCACGAGAUUUGAAUUUAUGCAUUAAGUUAUAAAUUUUAAGAAAAAUGACUAAUUUUGGAGACUAUGGUACAAUUAAGGAUGUAAACCAUAAGGAUGGUAAUCUUUUAGUUAGAGAAAGCAACUGGGUUAGCCUUUGAUGCAUUAAAGCCUUAUUUAGAGGUUUCGAAAUGAUUUGGGGAAUAUCUUUUGGGCAUCUACGGUUUUGGUUCAUUUGAAUUGAUAGAAAUAAUCACAUUUUUAGAGGAGGGAUAUUUAAUGUAGAUGAUACUAUAAAUUCUAUCAAAUUUUGCUCUUGGAGAGGGUCUGUUUUAGACUCUAACUUAUCUACCUGCUAUGAUUUCUAUGACAGAUUUAUUUCUCUUGUAAACUGUUUAAAGUGGAUGUAACAUUUCCGCAUUCUCCUUUUGUAAAGAUUUUGAGUACCCCUUAUUCUCCUUUUGAUAUUUUUAUUGCCUAUAAAAAAUAACACUUUAGGUUUAUUCAUAUUUUAAAAAUGAUUCUUUUUUGAGCAUAAAGUAAACAUAUCUAUUUAUAAUCCAUUAAAAAUGCACCUUUGCGUUUUAACAUUUCAAUUUCCUUUUUGGCAUAUAAUUCAUAUUAUCAUGUUUCUCAUGUUGCAGUAUCUUUUAAAAUUCAUCUUUACUUCUUAAAAAGUUAAAACAAAUAUUUAUUUGCUAUAAAAGGUCAUGAAUUUAAAUUAUGACAAAUUCAAAAAUAUUUUAAUCUAAUGAAUAUAUAUAUAUAUAUAUAUAUAUAUAUAUAUAUAUAUNNNNNNAAGAGGAGAUCAUGUUGCAGUAAUCUUUUAAAAUUCAUCUUACUUCUUAAAAAGUUAAAACAAAAAUUAUUUUUUCUAUAAAAGUCAUGAAUUUAAAUUAUGACAAAUUCAAAAUAUUUUAAUCUAACUGAAUAUUAUAUAUAUAUAUAUAUAUAUAUAUAUUAUAUAUAUAUAUAUAUAUAUAUAUAUAUAUAUUAUAUAUAUAUAUAAUAUAUAUAUAUAUAUAUAUAUAUAUAUAUAAUAUAUAUAUAUUUAUAAUAUAUUAUAUAUAAAUUUAUAUAUUUGUUUUGAAUAAAUUCUUCUUUUAUAAAAAUAAGUUAAUUUAUUUUUGAUAUAUCUUUUAAUAUAACUCUAAACCAAUUAAGUUUAUUUCAAUUUUAACAAAUUAAAUAGUACUUAUUUAUGAUACCAUUUUGAAUACUACCAUGGAAAGUUGGUCGUUUUUUUUAAGGUUUUAUUUUAAAAUCACAUUACAAGCAUUAAAUAUAUAUAAUAUAAUAGAUAUAUCAUUUUCUUGCAUAUUGAUAUUAUGUCAGAAUUCAACUCAUUACAAUAUUUUAAAGAAAUGAUUCAUGACUCAUUUUUGAAGUUGCAUAUUUCUGAUACCUUAAGUGUUUAUGAUUUUUGUUUGUUCUUAUAAGCGUUUGGUUCUAGUUUUUUAUCUUAUUGAGUCUCCUCAUCAAUUAUGGCAAUUGAUAUUUAGAUUCGUAUUUUAGCAUGUAUGAGUCCAAGUAUUUGAUUAUAGCUUAAAGCAAUAUGAUUGAAAUCAAUCUAUUGAGUUUGUCCAGUCAAAAACUAAUGCUUGAGAAUGAUUAAAUCAAUGACCAUUGUAGAACUCCAAAAAUCCUUUAAAAAUUAUUGAAAAGAAAUUUGGCCAGUGUAACUGAAUUACACAGUUAGUCUGAUUUGAAUCAGAAGGAUAUAUUUUCAGAUCUUCUAAUUCGAAUCAAAGGAAGUCUAAUUUGAAUUAAAGCAAUUUGAAUCAAAUCACAAAAUUGUGUGAUUCGAAUCACUUAUGAAAUGAAAUUCUCCUGGUGGUUUUAGAACUCAUGACUGGGAGCAACCGAUUAUUUGACUGACGUCAAGUGAUUUGAAUCACAGACUUGUGAUUCAAAUCAACAAAUGAAUUUCAUAUAGUUUUUGCUUAUUGAUUAAAUCAUUGGUUUUUUGAUUCCAAUUUAACUCUUGCUUUGAACUUAAAUCAUACACCAUUUUUGUCUCAUUUUAGACUAGAUCUCCAACACAUAUAGAUACGUUUCUCUCAAAAACCUUACAAAAUAUUAGAAAACACACACUUCCAAUAUUAAUUUGAAAACUCACAAACUAACUUGUUCUCUCAUAUUUUCCAAAGAGUUUUGAAUCUUUUUUGGACACUUGUAAGUGUUUCUUUCGUCUCUACCUUAUUCUUUAUCCAUUAUACAUGAUAAGAAUCUCAUAUUUGAGAUCGUGAUUGUUUUUGAGAUGUUUUUGAAUUUAAUGUGUCUUGAAGAUUUUAAUUAAGUUUAGAGGUUCUCAAGAUGUGGAUGUUGUGGUUGGUUUCGACAAUUCGAGUAAAAAGAAGGACUUCUUCUCUUCAGGUCCAUAUUGGUAGCGUUGUGUGGAAGCCUACAGACAAGGUGAGAGUUUUCUUCUCAAUCUUCAAACAUACCAACAUUAAGAUAUCAACAAGAUUAAGUAAAGAUCAUUACAGAGCAGAGACUUUGGAGUAGGUUGUUGGGCGUGAAGAUUUUAUAAAGAGUUAACUUGUAGGUGUGAAGACAAAGCUUCCAACAAAUUUUGAUGAAGAAAUGAAUCAAGCUUAAAUUUCCUUAUCAAAAAGAAGAGAAAAAAUUGCUUUUGGUCAAUCAAGAUAUAUAGAAAUUCAUAUCAUAUGCAAUCUUAAAGUUCUCAAUUUUACUGAUCAUACAUUUGAAAAUAUUCAUGUCAUACUUUGUUAAAAUAUUUUUUAAAAUGUUUUAAUUGCAUUAGUUUGAAAAUAAAUUUUGAUGCAUGCAUAAAGUUGUGGACUUAGAAUUUUUCAAUUUAAUAGCAAGCAAUUGAUUGACAUAAUUGUGCAAUCGAUUGAAUAGAAAUUUGAAAUUUAAAAUUUAAACCACUGCAAUCGAUUAACAUGUUUCUGCAAUCGAUUGCAUCAGUUCAUUUUUUCCAAUCAAUUGUACCUAAACCAGUUUGGAAAAUACUGAUUCAUGUUCACUACUUCACUCACUCCUUUUCAUGGCAUCUCUUAAAUUAAUCUCAUAUAUUUCAUAAAUAUUUUCAAACCAUUGCCAUAUUUUAUCAAGGGAUGCUUUCAUCACUAUAAAUACAUUCACAUUUUCAUUUUACACUCACCUCUUUCAAAUUAAUCAUGAUUUCUCUGCAUAAUUUUCAAUAGAACCUUUACACUAAUAUACUUUUUGAAAUACAUUUUUAUAUCAUAUUCAACAAAGUAUCUUUGAGCACUUAUAGAGCAUUUGUUCUUGAAUCUUCAUAUUUUGAAAGAGAAUAAGACUUUUAUCAUUUGAUUAAAUCUUGUUCGUUAUACAAACUUACUUCUUAUACAAUUAUUACUGUAAAUUCCUAAGUUUCAAGGCUUGCACAGAAGCUCCUGAAAAACAAUUCAACCAGAAUCAAAAUCUGAGUUAGAUUCUGAAGAGGUAUUUUCUGAACUUUCUUGUUCUGAGCUGGAAUCUAGUUUAUCAAAAGUUAUGGAAAAAUAUCAAAAUCUUAUGAACAAAUACAAGAAUCUGAAGAAAGAUUCAUGUAUUUGAGUCAGAAGCUUACUAUAAGCUCCAGAAAGACUUUUCAAGUUUGAGUGAAGAAAAUCUCAUUUUGAAAAAGCACCAACUCUGUGCCCCAAAGGAAGAGUCUCAAACCCGAAAAAAGAAAAUUCUUUCAAAAGCCUCUAUAGUUUCUGGUGAUAUUAUAAAGAAAAUAUGACAAAUAUUUCCAUAAAUUUAUUGAUAUAAGCCUGAAUAGAAGCUAUUACCUUUGUUAAGCUAUCACUGGACUGAUAGUAGGUAAUAUCCUCUUAUCUUUGGUUGGUUACCUUUUGAAGCUAUCACUUGGCCGGUAGUUGGUAAGCUUCCCUUUUUGAGCUUAUUACCUUUGUUAAGUUAUCACUGGGCUGAUAGUAGGUAAUAUCCCUCUUAUCUUUGGUUGGUUACCUUUGUUAAGCUAUCACUUGGAUGGUAGUUGGUAAUUUUCCCUUUUAAGCUUAUUACCUUUGUUAAGCUAUCACUGGAUGAUAGUAGGUGAUAUCCCUCUUAUCUUUGGUUGGUUACCUUUGUUAGCUAUCACUUGGCUGGUAGUUGGUAUUCCCUUUUUGAGCUUAUCACCUUUGUUAAGCUAUCACUGAGGUGAUAAUAGGUAAUAUUCCUAUUAUCUUUGGUUGGUUACUUUGUUUAAGCUAUCACUUGGAUGAUAGUUGAUAAUCUUUCAUUUUGGGCCUAUUACUUUGUUAAGGUAUCACUUGGAUGAUAGUUAGGUAUAUUUUCUCCCCUAGUGGAGUUAGGCAUCCCAUUUGAUUGAUCUUUCCCCUUUGAUUGAUCUUUCCCCCGGCGGAGUCUUGCUUUGAUAAGUCUUCCCCAUUUGGUCCAUUUGGUUUGUUUAUUUUCUAACUAUGCAUUGGUUUCUUCCUAAUUCAAUAUUUAUUCCUGAGCCGAGUUGUUCCCCUGUGGAACUUUGUUUGUCCUAGUUGGGUUUUCCCCUUUUGGAAACUGGUAUUCCCAUGCGGAGUUUUAGUCUCCUCUUUCUCCAACAAUUCUUUGUCUCUCGUGUCGCUAUGUUCCCCACAUAAUCCUUGUCUACAUUCAUAUCAAUAAGCAUUUUUGGCGAUAUCUUAGGGCCAAAAAUUGGGUUUAUGUAUUUAAGUCUCUUCAAUAUCGUCGAGACGAAAAUUUCAAAUCUCCAUAUCUCCGAAUUGAAGAAACUUAAAUUAGGAACAUCUGUCAUACCCUAAUUUUUAACCCUAAGGUCCCUCAUACCAUUUGCACCCUUGCAUCAGACAAGAUCACAUCUUGGUCUCUCUCCUUUCUAUGGGGUUUGCCUUUUGUAGGGAUCUACACAUCUUUGUUGUUUUUUAUCUUUUGUGUUUAUUGUCCAUUACUUUUAACUACUCAAUCAUUAAAACAUGUUUUGUUUAAGUCUAUUGUGCAAGGUAGGGAUUUUCCAUCAAGAACAUCAAGCAUGGAUCAUCAACUAGGGUUUGUUUUGAUUCUUCAACAAGUAUGGUCAACCAUUGGUUCUCAGGGAUUUAUCUCUUAAGCAUGAUCUCUAAGGUUCUCAAGAACCUUCAAUCUCGUUUGUAUCAAGAGCAUCUCAAAGUUCUGUGGCUUACUUCUCAAGAAAAGUCAAGGUUCAUGUGUUUAUUUUCAUGCCUUCUUCAAUAAGUUUCCCUCAAACUUUGAGAAAUCCAACCAAAGGACAUUAAAGGACACUUUAUUUUGAGUUCAUAUGAUCAAUCCAUCUACCUUGAAAUGCAAGAAAAGUUCAAGUGCACAAGCUUAUUCCAAGAUGGUUUUGACCAAAAGUCAACAUUUGCAAUUAAAGUCCAAAGGAUUAUAACUCCUUCAAUUCUCAACAUUUUUGAAUGCUUCUUUUUGCAUAUGACUCUUCUUAUUAUCCUAUACAACUUAUCUUUACAUGACAAGAGCCAAUUAUGCUUGUAAGAUUAUCAAAAGGUUGGAGACAUUAUAGGUCAUUUGUGGCACUUAGUGAAAUUUGACCUAUUUUCAAGUGACUUUUUCUCAAACUUUCAAGAUUUAUAACUUCUUGAAUUCUUAACAUUUGAGGCUUAUUAUUUUGAAAAAUAUCAUUUGCGAUUCACUCUACAAGUUUGCUUUCAAGGAUCAAAGUCAAAAUAUGUUUGGAAGACCAUGCAAUCCAUUGACACAUUAGAAGUCAUUUUCAGCCAUUGGAUACUCAAAAAUUUCCAAGUUACAUGACCGAGUUUUUUCGUGCCAACUUCAACAAUGACAUAAUUUUGUGCUCAAGCAUCCAAAUGCAAACUUUCUCCGCAUAUUGUAAUCUUUGAUAUGAUGUCAACACAAUGCAAGAAGAAUGGGAUCAAAAAGUCUCAUGAGCAAGAUGCCCUUUGAGUUGAACAUGGUAACUUAAAACUGAAGAAAUCACCAUGAUUCAGAUUUGAUUCACUAAUUCUCAAUUACAGCCAAAUUAACACGCGUUUUGGACCUAAACAUGUUUAACCAAGUCUCCAAGAAGUUAAUUGACCCUGGAAACACAUGUUUGGAUGAGGUUUGAUGAAUUGCAAGUCACACUUUUCUCACUUCAUGAUCAAAUUGUUUUGCAUGAAUUAAGCUUGAUUCCACACACGUAUUGGAUCCAAACACAUUCCCUAUAAAUAGAGGAAGCUAUUGCAUUCAUUUCCAAGCUUUUGAGAGCCAGGAAAUCUCCGCUUCAAUUUGAAAAUUUCCAAAAAAAAUCAACUAUCGUGUUUUGAAUUCCAGCUUGAUUGAACCCAAUUUCUUGAUUCAUUAGCAUUUUCGGCCCCCUCUGAAGCUUUUGCAACAAUUCCCAGGAUUUGCGACCUCAUUGAAUGCUCUAAUCAGAUCGAGCUUCGUCGACUUUAUUCACCAUUUGGACAAGGUAGUUCUGAGCAUUAUUUGAACUCAAACAAGUUGCCAUACUAUAGUCCUUCACUCUCUGAUGCUUUCCCCUAACUUAUUUGGUGUUGGUUGUUCGUAUUCAUCAUUUAAUUUUAUUUUUCGUGGCUUACUUGCUUCUGAACUUCUCUAAAAUUUCCCAUGCCUCAAUUUAGAUAAAUGAAUUUGGAGCAUGAAAGUUGAAUUCAUGUUGGCGGAGGAGAUCACAUUGGUGGUGGUCCCUGUUUCUGAAAUUACCAAAUGAUGAAGCUCCGAUGAGGGAUCAUCGGGAAAGAUGACCAUAGUGUUUCAGGUCGUCUGAGUUUGGCCAGACACGUUGGACAAUUAAAAUGCUCUAAUUUGUUCAAUUUAAAUGCAAUCCCGUGUUUUAUUUUAGCUAAAUUCCAUCGUACCGCCCUAGCCUUGUGAGUGUUGGAUCUGCCACGUCAAUUAAUGAGGCCGAUCCAACGCUCCGUAUUUUUUUAUUUUUUUUAAAUUGCAUUUUCUUUUAAAAUUCCUAGGAAAUUCAUUUUACAUCCAAAAAAUCACAAAAUAACUUCUAAAAUUCUCUUUUAUUUCUUCAUCUGAAUUUUAUUUUGCAUAUUUUAUUUUAUUGAUUUUCUAUUUUCAUGGAAUUUCUCCUUUUCUCCUUUGUUUUAAUCGGUUUAAAAUAGUUUUCUCCAUUUUAAAAUUCAGAGAAUUUUAUUAUAUGCUUCUAUUUUAUUUCCAACCUUCCAUAAUUUUCUUGACCAUUUAUUUGGUGUUUUGAAGGACUUUAUGGGUUUUCCUAUUCAUUUCCAUUUUAAAAUUCAUUUUAAAAGUAUUUUUAAUUCAUUUUAUUGCAUUUUAUAUUUGUAUGACCUUUUGGACUUCUGUUGGCCUCGGAUCAUGGUUGUUUUAAUCAUAUGUCUCAUCAAAAUUCAAUGGAUCUUGGUGUUUGAUGGGUUGAAAACCCUAAUACACCAAAAGGAUGAUAGAUCUUGAUGGUGACUUGAUCAACAUCUGAUCCAAUUUUGGUGUGAUCUCUCUUGUCCUCUUCUUUUUCAUCUCUUUCUCUUCCUCUUGAUCAAUUGGAUGGUUUAUGUCCAUCUAGUACAUGAUGUAUGGAUUGGUGUUUGAUGAACUUUCAUCAUUUCAAAUCUACCUCUUAAUUGGUCUUUGAUCAUUUAGGGUACUUUUAUUGAUGCAUAAGUUUGUACUGGGUACUACGGAGUAUAAAUUGAUGUAAUGGACCACUCUCAUAGCCUUUGUACUUGAUCAAUUAUCUUUUUUUUUGUGGCAUAGGUUUAGGAGAAUGAUUUACAUCUCAUUUCUCUAGCAUGUAUUAACACAAACGUUGUUAUUGACCGACCUUAAAUAGUUAUGACUUCUACAUAAGUCCAAUUACGAUUGCUUAAUAUAUCGUUAAAUUUGUCCCGAAAGUAAGUCAUUUACAUAAGUGACAUUGUAAGUCUCCUACUCCUCAUGGUAUUGUGUGAAAAUAUUGCUUCCUUUUCAUUUAUGAGAGCUAAUGACAUACUUGUUGAUUCUAUCCAAGUUGGAGUCCUUCUCAUAGGUGAUAUAAAUGUCCAUGUUUUCAUGUUUGUGAGUGAAUAGUUGAGUGUUCUACAAAAAAUGACAAAUUGCCUUUCUCUUUUGAUUACUAACAUCAUUUAUUAAUAUUUUAUUGUAUUAACUUUAUUUUAAUGUCAUUUAUAUUAUGAUCUUACUUUUUUUGUCAUUUACUUUAUGCUUUUACUUUAGCAUCCCACAUCAUAUUGUUUAUGUUUAUGCUCUUUUACUCUUUGCCUAUUUGGAUUUCUUUUUCUUUUAAAGGCAUUUAUAAAGGAAUAAACUUCUAAAAAUUGGUUCUCUAGAUUUGUGGACUUGAGGUUACUAUCCUUAGCAUGUGUGGAGUUAUGGACUUAGAACUAGAUCUUGACCCUUGCUUUGGGAGUUGUGAUUUGAGAUCUUGAUUUCAUCUGGUACUUUUGACUUUGGACCUCUUUUGAAGAUUUGGCUUGACUACUUUGAUUUCAUCUGAUGCAUGGUAUAUUCUUUUGCUUAUUUGGCUUGUUGAGGCUUAAUCCAAAGGAGGAAAUUCUUGCUUGACUUAUGUAACAAAUCUUGCUAUCUCUUGGUUAGAUCUUUCCUCCCAGCUUUUACUUUAUGUUCUAAGAAGCUACUCUUCUCCUUACCCCUCUUUGAUUUUCAAAAUCCUCUCUCUCUUUUCAAAACUUUAUUGUUUUCAAACUUGAACGCUUUCUCAAUAAACCUUGAAUUUUUUCACGUGAUUUUGAAAAUCUUUUCUUAAUAAAUGUUAAUACAUGCUAAGCAUAUCAAAAACCAAUUUCAAAAGAUUAAAAAAAAUAUAUAACUCAUUUAAAUUAUUUUGUGCCCUUUGCACCUUUCUUUUAAACUUUUCUCAAAGUUUAGACAUGAGUCAUUUCCAUAGUUGAGAUGUAAUUCUCCUAUCCCCAUAGUAUUGAUGAUUAUUCUUUUCCACCCAAGAGAGCUAGAGGCGUACUUACUGAUCUUUAUCCAAGUUGGAGCUCUUCUCUUUGGUGAUGUAAAGUUCUCAUACUUGUGGGUGCCUAACUAAGUAUUCUCCUAAAAAGACAAAAUGUAUUUUCAUUAAAAAUGAAUCAAAACAAACAGUCUUUGUCACUUUUACCAUGAACUGCAAGGUUUUGAUCCUCCAUUUCACUUUGUUGAUACGUAGGCAUGAAACUCAGAAAGUCUUGGCAAUCACAAAAAUCAUAAAAACAUUUCUUUUCUCAUCUCCUCAUUCUUUUGCAAACAACAUUUUUUAAAGCAAAAAUAUACAGAUUUCAAAGAGUUCCCAUGGAGUACCAUGGAUGUUUAGGGUGCUAAUACAUUCCCUUUGCAUAACUAACCCCCUUACCCGUAGCUCUUUUUAUUAGUUUUUGUUUUAAAAACUUUCUUGGUUUUGUUUGUACUUUUUCCUUUCCCUUUGGAAAUAAUAAAAGCACGGUGACGACACUUGCUUUGCGAGUUAAGUUAAUCAAUACUUAAUCUCAAAUUUUACCGCUACAAGUAUCACUAUCAGCAUAUCUCUUUCCAUUGAAAAAUCAGGGUUCCAUUCUGUUAAGAACAUAAGUUAUGACCCCUGAUCAUCACUUCAUUCCUACUUUCUCUAAUUUGAACUUUAAUAUGAAUAUCCUUAGUCAUUGUAGAAAAUUUCGGGCAAUUGAGUAAAUUUCCAUGACUUAAUCAUAUAAUUCUUCACAACAUUCAUGCUCAGGUUUUCCCCAAUCACAUACAUGAUCAAAGAGCAUUCCCAAAACCUCAUCUCAGAUUCCACAUCUUCAUUCUCAAUUUCGACUUCAAUUUCACCACCUACGACCUUUGGUGCCACAAAUAUAAUGGACAUACUAUUUGUUGUAUCUUUGUUACCCCUGAUGAUGUCCAUCCACAAUUUAGCCCCCUUCACGUUGUUCUUCACCUCCACGGCCGGUUCCUUCGUGCUAUCAGAAUUUCCAUCAAUCCCUAACCCUUCCCCUUUUCCAUCCUCAUCUUUCGCUUCAUCGUCUCUAAUGGUUGGGUUAUCCACUUCUGAUUCCCCGUAUCUUCUUGCGUCGUGAUUUUUGAGCUGAUUCACGAUUUUUCGACGAACGAGGCACCUUCUUCUUCGGUCGCCCCCUUCCAUGUGAUAUCAUUUUUAAAAAAUUGAGACUUUAAUUACUAUAGUUGUGUAUUUCUCUUCUUCUUUUUUUGAUGUUAGUAUUUUCUCUUGUGUUUAAAAAUUUGUUUCUUUUCACAAGUAACUCAUGUUUUAUUCUUUAAAUUUUGAUGUCACUAUAAUUAUUUUAAUAUUUUCAUUAUGACAAUUUUCUUUAAAUUUUAUUAUAUUUAAUAAUAUUUUAAAUAUAUAUAUUAUUAUUAUUUACAUUUUUAUAAAAUAUUUUAUGAUAUUAUCUGAUUGAAUACAUAUAUUUCGAUAAUAAAUUUGUUAUCAAAUUAUGAACAAUAAAUUUUAUGAGUCUCAUAAUAAAAUUACAAAAAUAAUAAAAUAAAUUAGUUUCAAAAUACAUCCUCUUCCCAUUUGAACCAAAUAUAAUUGUAAAAUUGAUAAACUUUUGAUCGUGUCUACCACUAAUAAUAAAUAAUUUAAUCUUUAUAUUCUAUGCAUUAAAUACACCUUUGAUCAGUUGAAGGGGACAAACACACUGUAUGUUAACACUUUUUUUGUGUGGUUACUUAUCUAACACUUUAGACAUAACUUUCUAGACACUAGAUGGUCAAAUAUUAUGUUCUAUAUUCUAUCAAAAAUCUGAUAUGAAUAAAAAACAUUGUAAUAUGUAUCUUAGCAAAGUCCAACAUAAAUAAAUAACUAUCUAGUGAGAUUUAUCCACAAGUAACUUUGCCAUUGUAUAAAAAGAAAAUUUUCUCUUUAUUCUCAUGAAAGAUUAACAAAAGAGGUGCAAGUUAGUUAAAAAAAAGAAUGAGUUUUUAAUGAUAACAAAUUUGUUACAUGCCCUCCUUAAUUGAUGUGUUUAAAGGGACAAACACAACAUAAUAAUAUUACUUAAAAGCUAUUUGACAACAAUUAUAAUUCUAUGAAGGGGUUUUGACUAAAAACCAUCUAAUUAUUUUUUAGAAGCACAUAAACUUUAUACAUUAUAAAGAGAUCAAAUUAUACAAUAUUUCUCACAUGCAAAAAUAAAAAUAUAUGGCUACCAUUCUCAAAUUGUUUAUGCUAUGAUUCUAAUUCUUCCCUUAUUUCUUUUUGCACUUGAAGAUGGCGGUAAAGGAAAUUCUAGGAGAAUGAUGCAUUCGAGUAAUCUGAAAGAUGAGAGUGACAAGCAAGAGAAUAGUAGAGGACAAGAACAUCCAAUGAACCAUGAAUUUGAGGGAGGAGGGGAUGCUAAUAAAAAGAGUCCCAAAAUGUUUCAGUGUGGAGAUAUUGGGCAUUAUGCGUUCGAUUGCACUUCCAGUGAAAAGUUGUGUUUCAUUGUAAGAAUCCAGGACAUUUUAUAAAAGAAUGUGAAGAACUGAAAGAGAAAACCUUUAGUGAAUGCUGCUAAAGCAUGAAAUUGUAGAUCUAUCUUUCAUGAGAUUUAGAUCGUCUCAAUAUGUAUUUUUCUCAAUUUUUCUUCAAUCUUAAUCUUAUGUGAGUUUUUAGGUCUUGCAUGUAGUUUAUGAAGAUUGCAUGUUACUUUGAAUGGUUAAUUUUGUUUAGAAAAUUAUAAUGUUUCAAUGUUCUUUUGUUUUUGGAUAUGAUUUGAGGCUUUAAUUUGAGUAUUUCAGAUUCAAGAAAUUUGUUGUUUUAUGAGAUUUUGAGAUUACCGCAUUUCUAUGAGUGUUGAAAAAGAAAUAGGAAGAAUAUUUGAAUUGUUCAUGAGACCUAUACUUGAUUUUGUAUAAAAAGUUGAUUUUUAUACUUAUUUUUAAAUUUUGACGCUCAAAAUAGAUAUCAAGAGUCUAAGUCUCCCAAAUGAUAAAUAUUUUGUGCCGAUUAAGUUGCUUUUAAAUUAUUUUUUUAGUAGAAUUAAGUUUUUUGUCACAGGAUUUGAAUUUAUGCAUUAAGUUAUAAAUUUAAGAAAAAUGACUAAUUUUGGAGACUAUGGUACAAUUAAGGAUGUAAACCAUAAGGAUGGUAAUCUUUUAGUUAGAGAAAGCAACUGGGUUAGCCUUUGAUGCAUUAAAGCCUUAUUUAGAGGUUUCGAAUGAUUUGGGGAAUAUCUUUUGGGCAUCUACGGUUUUGGUUCAUUUGAAUUGAUAGAAAUAAUCACAUUUUUAGAGGAGGGAUAUUUAAUGUAGAUGAUACUAAAAUUCUAUCAAAUUUUGCUCUUGGAGAGGGUCUGUUUUAGACUCUAACUUAUCUACCUGCUAUGAUUUCUAUGACAGAUUUAUUUCUCUUGUAACUGUUUAAGUGGAUGUAACAUUUCCGCAUCUCCUUUGUAAAGAUUUUGAGUACCCUUAUUCUCCUUUUGAUAUUUUUAUUGCCUAUAAAAAUACCACUUUAGGUUUAUUCAUAUUUUAAAAAUGAUUCUUUUUGAGCAUAAAGUAAACAUAUCUAUUUAUAAUCCAUUAAAAUGCACCUUUGCGUUUUAACAUUUCAAUUUCCUUUUUGGCAUAUAAUUCAUAUUAUCAUGUUUCUCAUGUUGCAGUAUCUUUUAAAUUCAUCUUUACUUCUAAAAAAGUUAAAACAAAUAUUUAUUUGCUAUAAAAGGUCAUGAAUUUAAAUUAUGACAAAUUCAAAAAUAUUUUAAUCUAUGAAUAUAUAUAUAUAUAUAUAUAUAUAUAUAUAUAUAUAUAUAUAUAGUAUAUAUAUAUAUAUAUAUAUAUAUAUAUAUAUAUAUAUAUAUAUAUAUAUAUAUAUAUAUAUAUAUAUAUAUAUAUAUAUAUAUAUAUAUAUAUUAUAUAUAUAUAUAUAUAUUUGUUUUGGAAUAAAUUCUUCUUUUAUAAAAAUAAGUUAAUUUUAUUUUUGAUAUAUCUUUUUAAUAUUAAACUCUAAAACAAUUUAAGUUUAUUUCAAUUUUAACAAAUUAAAUAGUACUUAUUUAUGAUACCAUUUUGAAUACUACCAUGGAAAGUUGGUCGUUAGUUUUAAGGUUUUAUUUUAAAAUCACAUUACAAGCAUUAAAUAUAUAUAAUAUAAUAGAUAUAUCAUUUUCUUGCAUAUUGAUAUUAUGUUCAGAAUCCAACUCAUUACAAUAUUUUAAAGAAGAUGAUUUCAUGACUCAUUUUUGAAGUUGCAUAUUUCUGAUACCUUAAGUGUUAUGAUUUUGUUGUUUGUCUUAUAAGCGUUUGGUUCUAGUUUUUAUCUUAUUGAGUCUCCUCAUCAAUUAUGCAAUUGAUAUUUAGAUUCGUAUUUUAGCAUGUAUGAGUCCAAGUAUUUGAUUAUAGCUUAAGCAAUAUGAUUGAAAUCAUCAAUCUAUUGAGUUUGUCAGUCAAAAACUAUGAUUGAGAAUGAUUCAAAUCAUGACCAUUGUAGAAUCUCAAAAAUCCUUUAAAAAUUAAUGAAAAGGAAAUUUGGCCAGUGUAACUUGAAUUACACAGUUAGUCUGACUUGAAUCAGAGGAUAUAUUUUCAGAUCUUCUAAUUCGAAUCAAAGGAAGGUCUGAUUUGAAUUAAAGCAAUUUGAAUCAAAUCACAAAAUUGUGUGAUUCGAAUCACUGUGAAAUGGAAAUUCUCCUGGUGGCUUUUAGAACUAUGACUGGGAGCAACCGAUUAUUUGACUCGAGUCAAGUGAUUUGAAUCACAGACCUUGUGAUUCAAAUCACACAAAUGAAUUUCAUAUAGUUUUUGCUUAUUGAUUCAAAUCAUUUGGUUUUUUGAUUCCAAUUAUAACUCUUGCUUUGAACUUAAAUCAUACACCAUUUUUGUCUCAUUUUUAGGCUAGAUCUCCAACACAUAUAGAUACCGUUUUUCUCUCAAAAACCUUCAAAAUAUUAGAAAACACACACUUCCAAUAUUAAUUUGAAAACUCACAAACUACUUGUUCUCUCAUAUUUCCAAAAGAGUUUUAAAUCUUUUUUGAACACUUGUAAGUGAUUUCUUUCAUCUUCUACCUUAUUCUUUAUCCAUUAUUACAUGGAUAAGAAUCUCAUAUUUUGAGAUUCGUGAUUGUUUUUGAGAUGUUUUUGAAUUUAAUGUGUCUUUGAAUAUUUAAUUAAGAUUUUAGAGGUUCUCAAGAUGUGAGAUGUUGUGGUUAGUUUCGACAAUUCGAGUAAAAAAGAAGGACAUUCUUCUCUUCAGGUCUAUAUUGGUAGCGUUGUGUGGAAGCCUACAGACAAGGUGAGAGUUCUUCUCAAUCUUCGGACAUACCAACACUUAAGAUACCGACAGGAUUAAGUAAAGAUCAUUGCAGAGCAGAGACUUUGGAGUAGGUUUUGGGCGUGAAGAUUUCAUAAAGAGUUUAGCUUGUAGGUGUGAAGACAAACUUCCAACAAAUUUUGAUGAAGACAAUGCAUUCAAGCUUAAAUUUCAUUAUCAAAGAAGAAGAGAAAAAAUUGCUUUUGGUCAAUCAAGGUAUAUGGAAAUUCAUAUCAUAUGCAAUCUUAAAGUGCUCAAUUUUACUGAUCAUACAUUUGAAAAUAUUCAUGUCAUACUUUGUUAAAAUGUUUUUUAAAAUGUUUUAAUUGCAUUAGUUGAAAAUAAAUUUUGAUGCAUGCAUAAAGUUGUGGACUUAGAAUUUUUUUCAAUUUAAUUAAGCAAGCAAUUGAUUGACAAAAUUGUGCAAUAGAUUGAAUAGAACUUUGAAAUUUAAAAUUUUAACCACUGCAAUCGAUUAACAUGUUUCUGCAAUCGAUUGCAUCAGUUCAUUUUUUCAAUUUUUUAGUCCUUGCAAUCGAUUGACAGGAUUGUGCAAUCAAUUGUACCUAAACAAGUUUGGAAAAAUACUGAUUCAUGUUCACUACUUCACUCACUCCUUUUCAUGGCAUCUCUUAAAUUAAUCUCAUUAUAUUUCAUAAAUAUUUUCAAACCAUUGCCAUAUUUUAUCAAGGAUGCUUUCAUCACUAUAAAUACAUUCACAGUUUCAUUUUACAUUCACCUCUUUCAAAUUAAUCAUGAAAUCUCUCUGCAUAAUUUUCAAUAGAACCUUUACACUAAUAUACUUUUUGAAAUACAUUUUUAUAUCAUAUUCAACAAAGUAUCUUUGAGCAUUUAUAGAGCAUUUGUUCUUGAAUCUUCAUAUUUUGGAAGAGAAGAAGACUUUUAUCAUUUGAUUAAAUCUUGUCCAUUAUACAAACUUACUUAUUAUACAUAUUAUUACUGUAAAUUCCUAAGUAUCAAGGCUUGCACAGAAACUUCUGCAGAUACAAUUCAACCAGAAUCAAAAUCUGAGUUAGAUUCUGAAGAGGUAUUUUCUGAACUUUCUUGUUCUGAGCUGGAAUCUAGUUUAUCAAAAGUUCUGGAAAAAUAUCAAAAUCUUCUGAACAAAUACAAGAAUCUGAAGAAGAUUCAUGUAUUUGAAUCAGAAGCUUACUAUAAGCUUCAGAAAGACUUUUCAAGUUUGAGUGAAGAAAAUCUCAUUUUGAAAAACAACAACUCUGUGCCUCAAAGGAAGAGUCUCAAAUCCGAAAAGAAAAUUCUUUCAAAAGCCUCUACAGGUUCCGGUGAUAUCAUAAAGAAAUAUGAUCAAUAUUUCCAUAAAUUUCUUGAUAUAAGCCUGAAUAGAAGCUUAAUGGAUUCCAUGAUUUAUGGCGUUGGUAGAAAUGGAAUAAGGGGCAUUGACUAUGAUUCUGAUGAAAUAUAUUUCGGAAAAAGAUGAUAAGCCCGAUACUUUUCGGUCCCAUUUUGUCCCUUUUGGGAAACAAAAUUGAGUUAUGCCUAAACGUAGAAUCGCUUCUAAACCUAAGGCUAAAGUGAAACCUCAUUCCCAUUUCAAUUAUGCAUACAUGUAUAUAUAUCCUGCACAAAAACCCAAGUUUGUUAAGAAAUCUAGGAAGACUAACCCCAAAGGAUCCAGAAAGAUGUGGGUACCUAAGGACAAGAUAGUAUAUAUUGCAUAUAUCCUUAGAAAUAGAGUUGAGACACCAGUCAUGGUACCUGAACUCUGAAUGCUCGUGACACAAGACGGGAAGAAUGCAUAUGAUCCAAAGCUUGGAACUUAAGCCCAGAGGCAUCCUCAGUUUCAUAGGUGAUCAGAAAGGGAAGAUCACUGACUUCAGAAUAGUAGGUAACAAUAAUCUCCCUUCCAUUACUAAUGUUCUUUUAGUUGAAGGAUUAAUGUAUUGUCUUUUGUCCAUAAGUCAAUUAAGUAGCAAUGGUUAUGACAUUAUUUUCCAUUAAAAGUCCUGUAAAGGUGUCAGUGAAAAUGAUAGCUCAGUUCUUUUCAAUGGAAAAAGGAAGAAUAAAGUUUAUAAGAUAAGACUUUCUGAUUUGAAGAAUCAAAAUGUAAAAUGUCUUAUGUUUGUAAAUGAAGAGAAAUGGACGUGGCAUAAACGAUUGGGCCAAGUUAGCAUGGGGAUGAUUUCUCAGUUAAAUAAGCUUAAUUUAGUCAGAGGCCUACCAAAUAUGAAGUUUGCUUCAGAUGCUUUGAAAGGAAAGUUUUCUAAAACUUCUUUCAAGGCUAAAAAUGUUGUCUCAACAUCCAGACCAUUGGAGCUUCUUCAUAUUAACUUGUUUAGACCAGUGAAAACUGCCUUUGUCAAUGGUAAAAAAUAUAGACUGGUCAUUGUUGAUGACUACAGCAGAUGGACAUGGGUGGAAUUUCUCAAACACAAGGAUGAGUCACAUUCUGUGUUUUCUACCUUCUGCUCUCAAGUGCAAAAUGAGAAGGAUCUCAGAAUUGUAAAAGUCAGAAGUGAUCAUGGUGGAGAUUUUGAAAACAAAGAUUUUGAAUAACUCUUUGAUACUAAUGACAUUUCCCAUGAUUUCUCAUGCCCUAGAACUCCACAACAAAAUGGAGUUGUAAAGAGUAAGAAUAGGACUCUGCAAGAGAUGGCCAGAACCAUGAUCAACGAGACUAAUAUGACUAAGCACUUUUGGGCAGAGGCAGCCAACACAUCAUGUUAUAUUCAGAACAAGAUCUCUAUAAGACCUUUUAUGGAUAAUACUCCUUAUGAAUUAUGGAACAAUUUGAAGCCAAACAUUUUAUAUUUUCAUUCUUUUGGAUGUUUUUGUUUUAUACUGAACACUAAAAGGAAUCUGAGCAAGUUUGAUUCUAAGGUGCAGAAGUGCAUCGUGCAACUAUGGCUUCCUGAUUCAUAGGUAGAUUAACACCAAUUCCAUCAAAUCCAUCUAUAAUAGCAGUAGUUCUCUCAUCCUCACUAUCAUCAAAACCUUCAACACCCUCAUCAUUUAAUCAUUCCAUAUUUGUCAUCCCAUUAAUGCAUCUAGGUACUCUUACUUAAAGUUCUAUGUCAUUCACAUCAUGUUCCAGAUAAAUACCACCAUCAACUUGAAUGGCACAAGCAUAUGCAGCAAAAUCGUAUCCAUCAUCAUCCUUCCUCAACUGAAAGAAAUUUCCAUCUAUUUCAAGAAUUUUCAUCCACAUCCUAUAACUUCCUUCUUUAUAACCCCACCCCUUCACCAUGUUAUGGAUUUUAAACAUUGUCCACUUGUCAAUCUAUUGUGAGGAAACGAUCGUAUCCACACCACCUCUAUAUAUGAUGUCGUUCUCCUUUACCAUUAUAAAUUCACCUCCAUGGUGAAAAGUCACAUUAAAAUGUUGCAUGUUAUGUGAAAGGGGUUCGCAAAAAGGUUUAAUGUUCAACAUUACAAUCAAUACAUAAACAAGCCCGAACAUUGGACGAGAGUUCGAACAAACUAACCUCAGACAUUGAAAGCUUCAAUGGCGUCUUCGUGCUUUGCCUUCAAUCAUGCAAUGUAAUUCAUCAUUGUUCGUCCUCCAAAAAUAAGCUCGUGAUGCUUCAAUGGCUACUUCAAAGGCGUUCUUCAAAUUCGUCUCUUCGAUGGGUUUAUGAAUUUGGGACCAAACUAAUCCUAAUUUUUAAAAGGGGGUGGAGGCAAUUAAAAAGAAUAAAAAAUGAACAAUGCCACGUAGACAAAACAAAAUAUGCUAUAUAGGAUUAAAAUAAUAUUUUAUGUUGAAAUAGUCAACCCAUGGGCUAGAUACAAAAAAAAUCUUGAUAAUAUAAGGGGGGAAUAAAAAAAUAUUUUUUAUAGGUAAUUUGAAACUUGCUAAUACUAUAGGGGAUCACAAAUAUUUAACCCAAUAAUUUUUAAAAAAUAAUUUAAUUUUUUAAAAACUAAUUUAUUUUAUAAAUUAAUAUGAAUUAUAUAAUUGAUGCGAAUGAUGAUUUAGAAUAAAUCAUGCAAAUACAUUUUAUUUUUUAUUCAACGAUUGUAUCAACCACAAAAUUGAUCUAUGAUAUGCUCUACUUGUGCAUAAGUAACAAAAACACGUUCUCAAACCAAUAAUGAUUUAUUCACAAGUAACUUUACCAUGGUCUGAAAAGAAAUUUUUCUCUUUAUUCUCAUGAAAGAUUAACAAAGUGAUGCAAGUUAGUUAAACAAAUGAAUUUUUAAUGAUUAACAAGUUUGUUACGUGCCCUCCUUAAUCGAUGUGUUAAAGGGACAAAUUAACACACCGUAAUGAUAUGACUUAAAAAUAAUUAUUAUAAAUUUAUGAAGGGCUUUUAGAACUUCAAAAGUGCUAAGAAACCAUUUAAUUAUUUUUAGGAGAGCAUGCAUUUUAUACACUAUAAAGAGAUAAAACUAUAUUCUAUUUUUCACAUACAAAAAUAAUAUUAGUAUGGCUACAAUUUUCAAGCUUGUUUUUGUUAUGAUUCUGAUUCUUCCCUUAUUUCUUGUUGCACUCGAAGAUGGUGGUAAAAAAAAUUCUAGGAGGAUGAUGCAUUCGAGUAAUAUGAAAGACGAGAGUGACAAGCAAGAGAAUAAUAGAGGACAUGAACAUCCAAUGGACCGUGAAUUUGAGGGAGGAGGGGAUGAUUAUAAAAGAGACUUAAAAUGUUUUCGAUGCGGACAUGUUGGGCAUAAUGCAUUUCAAUGCACUUCCAACGAAAAGUUGUGUUUCAAUUGUAAGAAUCCAGGACAUUUUAUUAAAGAAUGUGAAGAAGUGAAAAAUGAACCUUUAGUGAAUGCUGCUAAGGCAUAAAAUUGUAGAUCUAUCUUUCAUGAGAUUUAGAUAGUUUCAAUCUAUAUUUUUCUCAAUCUUCUUCGAUCUUAAAUCUUAUGUGAGUUUUGAGGUCUUGCAUGUAGUUUAUGAAGAUUGCACGUCACUUUGAACGGUUAAUCAUAUUUAGAAAGUCAUAAAGUUUCAAAUUUCUUUCUUUUGGAUAUGAGCUAAGGCUUUAAUUUGAGUAUUAGUGUUCGUGAAAUUUGUUGUUUAUGAAUUUGAGAUUUGUGAUUAAUUAUUAUGUACUGUUUAUUGUAAACAGUUUUAUACGGUUAAUUAAUUAUUAUCAUUCGUUUGUAUUAUUUUAUAGGUAAUUAAAAUAAAAGUCAAAUUUCUUUUGACAUCCAACGUCUAUGAUUAACUGAUUGUGUAAAAUUAUUCUAUAUUUGGUGUAAGAUGUUGUGUAUGAAUAUUA
rnacentral:lncRNA from 1 species